GUCACCCCCCCACACACACACACCUAUACCUGUCACCUCUGUCAUCUGUAUCACCUGUAUCACCUGUACCCACACACGUCACGUCACACACCUGCCUGUACUCUUAUAUUCUUGUAUGUUUGUCAUAUUAUGGGUGCUUGUGUGUUUUCUUUGUGCCUUUGAUAGGUUGCUAUUUUAGAUCUUUGAUAGGUUGUAAUCUUCUUUGAUAGGUUCCUGUUUUAGAUCUUUGAUAGGUUCGUGUUUUAGAUCUUUGAUAGGUUCGUGUUUUAGAUCUUUGAUAGGUUCGUGUUUUAGAUCUUUGAUUGGUUCGUGUUUUAGAUCUUUGAUAGGUUCGUGUUUUAGAUCUUUGAUAGGUUGGUAUUUUAGAUCUUUGAUAGGUUCGUGUUUUAGAUCUUUGAUAGGUUCCUGUUUUAGAUCUUUGAUAGGUUGGUAUUUUAGAUCUUUGAUAGGUUGGUGUUUUAUAUCUUUGAUAGGUUGGUAUUUUAGAUCUUUGAUAGGUUCCUAUUUUAGAUCUUUGAUAGGUUCCUGUUUUAGAUCUUUGAUAGGUUCCUGUUUUAGAUCUUUGAUAGGUUGGUAUUUUAGAUCUUUGAUAGGUUCCUAUUUUAGAUCUUUGAUAGGUUAGUAUUUUAUAUCUUUCAUAGGUUCAUAUUUUAGAUCUUUGAGAGGUUCCUAUUUUAGUGUGUCUGUGUGUGAAGUUUUUCAGCUGGUAAAUAGAAAUAUAUAAAAAUGUAGUUUAAUAUUUUACUAUUUGUAUUAUUUAUUGUAAUACAUAGAUAGAUAGUAAAAACAUAAUAGAUAGUAAAAACAUAUUUGAAACGUAUUUACUAAAAUGUACAGUAUAAGAACCUGACUAUUAUUUCGAUUUUGUGUUGAAACCCAGAACAGACUGAUCCUCCUCUCCUCUCGCCUAACACACAAGCACACAGCCCUCCUUCUCAACCCACUCUGCUCUGUAGAAAUGACACAAUUAAUGCAUUAAUAUUUCUCAACAUAAUGAAAUCUGUUCCGUCUUAUGCCGAUUGAACAUGGCUAACGUUCAUCUCACAAUGAAGUCUCCAUGAACAGCUAAUAAAACAUAAUCUGCUCUGUAUCUCCCAGUCUACCCGAGACACAGAAAAGCUUUUUAGUAUAUCUUCACUUAGGCUGUACUGAGUGACAACUUGCUGCUUUAGACAGAAACAUGUUUGUAUUUUUUAUCCUACCUCUUACUUAUAAACGAUGCAAUAAAGCAUUCAGGGGUUAAAAUGUAAAUGGAUCUGUGUCUGGUGAGUAGGUUGAGUGGCAUUAAAGUGGUGGAUGUCUGUAGGGUUUCCUGUUUUUCCAACUUUGAAAA
rnacentral:lncRNA from 1 species